GUCCUCGUAGCUCAACGGAUUGAGCGUAGGCCUCCGAAGCCUGAGAUCGUGGUUCGACUCCACGCGGGGACA
rnacentral:tRNA from 1 species